CUCCUACGGGAGGCAGCAGUAGGGAAUCUUCCACAAUGGACGAAAUUCUGAUGGAUCAACGCCUCUUUAGUGAAGAAUGGUUUCUGCUCGUAAAGCUCUGUUGGUAGUGAAGAAAGAUAGAGGUAGUAACUGGCCUUUAUUUGACGGUAAUUACUUAGAAAGUCACGGCUAACUACGUGCCAGCAGCCGCGGUAAUACGUAGGUGGCAAGCGUUGUCCGGAUUUAUUGGGCGUAAAGCUAGUGCAGGCGGUUCAAUAAAUC
rnacentral:rRNA from 1 species